rnacentral:lncRNA from 1 species
UUUUAAUAAUCUCAUAGAUUUUAGACAAAAAAAAACAAAGAAAUUAUUUUUAAAAGUCAAUUACCCCUUAUGACAUGGCAUAACAUUAUGUCCAAGUGGAGGUGGCACAUAUACAGUUAACAGCCAUGUCACAGGGUCGAACUGCCAAAACUGAUGGAGGGGCGUAUUUGACAGAUGUUUGACAAUUUUUGGAGGAUUUAUGAAGUUUUUAAAAAUUGUGGGUUUUUUUUAACAAAAGUUACAAUUUCGAGGGGGAAAGUAAUUGUCUAUUCACUCAUACAUUAUCCAUCAAUAAAAGUAGGUAACUCUAUGUUGAGUUUCCACGGAUCAAAACCAUUUAUUUAUCUUUUACUAUAAAUAGAUGGUGGAAGACAUAUAAAAGUUUUUGAUUGGUGAAAAAUCAACAUGUGUAAUGUUACCCAUCUUGUUUAACAUUCACUUUUUUAUUAAAAAAUAAUUAUAUGGGUCCUAAACUUUGAAAAUGGAUCUCACUUAUGGUGACGAGGCUCGUAUGUAUUCCACACAAUAAAUGAAAGAGUGUUAAAAAGAGAGUGUUAAAAAUGAUCCUAAACUUUAACAAAUUCUUCAAUUUGGUCUCUAAGAUCUACCAAAGAACAAUUGGAUGAGAUGAUAAUGAAAGAGUGUUAAAAAGAGAGUGUUAAAAAUGAUCCUAAACUUUAACAAAUUCUUCAAUUUGGUCUCUAAGAUCUACCAAAGAACAAUUGGAUGAGAUGAUAAUGAAAGAGUGUUAAAAAGAGAGUGUUAAAAAUGAUCCUAAACUUUAACAAAUUCUUCAAUUUGGUCUCUAAGAUCUACCAAAGAACAAUUGGAUGAGAUGAUAAUGAAUCCUGUUAUAACAUGACGCGAGAAUAAUGAGAUAAUAGUAAAAGACAAAAUGGAAAACGACACAAGAUUUAACGUGGUAUCCAACAAUAAGGUGACUAAUCCAUGGGCAGAGUCACUAAAAAGAAUUCACUAUAAUCGAUAAUUACAGAUACUGAAUAGUAGAGGUAACGUUACCUAUAGCAAAACCGGAUUUGGAUUCAGUGCUGUUACAGCAGGACGCUGUAACAGAUUUUGGCCAUACGAUCUCUAAUCGACGGUUGAGAUUGUUUUACCGUGUAAAAUUAAUUUUUUAAACUGAGUCGUCGGAUCACAAAUCAAUGGUCAAGAUUCCCUACAACGUGAAACUGCGUGCUGUUUUUACAGCGGGAAAUCCUGGUCCAGCAAAACCCAUUAACUAUUGGUGCAAGAAAUACUAACACACAAAGACUUUUAUUUAUAUAUCCAAGUCUUUGCAUAUUUCUUCAUAUUAUCCGAUGUGAGACAUUUUCCCAACACUAAUUCAAGGCAUAUUUCAACAAAUCUUUUCCAACUUAACCAAAGAUUUUGAAUUAGAAUCCAAUCCUCAUAAUGUACCAGUUAAAUAUCUUUAAGCAGAGUUUUGUCAUCCAUUGUGGUUUUAUCCAGCUCAAGAAAUUAAUCUCUACAAUUGUAAGCAGAGGGUACUUGCUUUACACCAUAUAUACUCUCUAACAUAUUAAUUGCAUAGACUAAAUUGACAGAUUUUAUAUACUUGUUUUAUUUAGAUAGUUUAGAAACUAAAUAGAAGUAUGACGAUAGUUCAAAAAUUAAAUUGAUGGUUUACUCAUAUUUUCAGAGCCAUGUUUAUGAAUAUAAAUUAUUAAAAGGAUUAAAUAAGUUUUUGUUUCCUAUAAAUAUCUCAAAUUUCAUGUGAGAGCAUCCACAAUAGGGUUCAUUGCCUUAUUUUUUUCCUUCAAAAUCUAGAUUUUCACGUGUUAAAAUUAGAUUUCCCUUUAGAAUCAAAGGAGUAGUUGAUGAAAUCUAAACUCGUCAAUUGACCAAACAGUUAGACUCAAAUGGUUAAUGAAUUCCACCAAAGACGAAUUGUUUAGAAAAAUUUGAGUUCAACUUCUGACAACAAUACUAUCACUCUAUUAACACAAUACUAUCACUCUAUUAUUGUAUUUUCAUUUUAAUGCUUUGAUCGAUUUAUGUAUAAACCAAACAACUUCAAUCUCUACUUACAACGAUAAUAAUUGUUGAAUAGUUUUAGAGAAAUGAUAUUUGUACAACCAAUUUGUGACAACUUUUUCUCUCAUACUCACAUGAUGGUCUUAUCCUCUCUCUUCCCUUUUCUCUCUCCAUUGUUUUUGACCAAUAAGAAGAGAGAAAAACAAGGUUGUCACUAAAGUUGUCAUGAAAUGGAUGUACAAAUAUCAUUGUUCAUAGUUUUAGUAUCACACGUCAUCAUGUAGAUAGGAUAAUUAUAAGAGAAAUGAUAUUUAUACAACCAUUUUAAAACAACUUUUGACAAUUUUCUCUUUCAUACUCACAUUAUAUUUUUACUUUUUCUCUCUAUUACUUAAAUUUUUAUACAAAUACAUACUUUUCUUUAUAAUAAUAUGGUUGUAUAAUUAGUUAUCACACAAAUGAAUGUUCAUAUAACCAAUCGUUAAAACCAAAAAAUACACAAUAUAUAUCAAUUGACUACAAUUUGUGUUCAAAUUGAGGUUAACAAUGGCCGUUUUCAAAAUGAUGGCAAAUGCAACACCUUUUUAUUUUCAUUAAUCAUCAAUGAACCUAACUACUUACACAAUCAAAUUUAAAUGUCAAAAUAUCAUUUACCACUUGUGUAAUUAUUAUUUUUUCUUUCAAAAGUUUAUCUUAAUCUCUAUUAAAUUUUAAAGUGGAUAGAGUAGUAUAUACUAGAGGGGCCAAUGAUUAAAUUAUUUUGAUGUGUGGACCAAUGAUUAAAUUAUGACAAUGAAUGAAACUAUGAUAAUGGAAUAUUAUAAUCUCCCCCUCUAACAUGGCAAAGUUGACGCUCUUCCCAUUCAUACACUCUUUUCUCUUUUAUCUCAUUGGCUACAUUCUAUAAACUCCCUCUCAUAUCUCAAUUCUCCUUCAUAUUCAUCAUCAUUCACGCUUCACACUCCGCGUUCCUCAUUUUCAUCGCCUCAGGUAAAUCACGUUCGUUCAUAAUCACUUUUCAUAAUCACUUUUCACCAUUUCACAUUCACACCUAAACAUCACGCAACAAGUGACAUCUCACUCUCCUUCAUAAUCACGUUUCACCAAUUCAAUUCCGCAUCUGCAUCUCAAUCACUUUCGUAAUCAUAAUCGCUUAAUUUCAAAAUCACGAUUUAAAGUAAUUGUCAACGUCACACGUUAUCCUCAUUAUUACGUUGCUUUCAUAUCACUUGUUUAGUUCUUUAAUAGCUUUUUCAUGCAAUUGAAUUUCAGUUACUGGUUUUGCGUUUUCAGCUGAAUGCAACAAUGGCGUCUCACGAUUCUGAAUUUCUGAAGAACUUUUGGAUCCCGAAUCACAUUCUUGUGUCGGAUUCUAAGGUUGAUGAUGAGAUCGAAGGCGAUGGACCUAAGUGUCCAGUGCUUGUUUUUGUUAACUCUAAGAGUGGUGGUCAGUUAGGUGGUGAACUCUUGAAAACCUAUCGUGCAGUUCUUAAAGAUAAACAGGUAAAAAAAAUUCUUCUAGAUUGUUAAGAGUUUUUGUUUUGUAGCAACGACACUUCUGAUGAUGUGUUUAUGACCAACAGGACACUUGACACAUGUGAUUACACUCAAUUAUGCCAUUUUUUAAAACUAUUGACAUUGUCGACAUGUUAGUCUCGUGUCGGGCAUCUGUGUGUGUGCUUCAUAUGUUUUUAUUAUGAAGGAAUGAAUUGAGCUUGUGUGUGUUUGUUUAGGUGUUUGAUUUGGGGGAAGAGACACCUGAUAAGGUUUUGAGCAGAAUCUAUGCGAAUUUGGAAAACUUGAAGGUUCAGGGUGAUCGACUUGCAAUAUCGACUAUGGAGAGAUUGAGAUUAAUUGUAAGUUGAAAUUCCUUUUUCAUGUGUUUUUGUUUCAAUAGACUUUGGAAGUUUUAAAUUGAAGGCAGUGGCUCGAUUUCUGUGGUUGCUGCUAUCGAAUCAGGCCGUGACUGUGAACUGUAAUUGCUUGGGGCACAACAUAGAUAGCUCUUAUUAGACCACAAUUGCUGCAACUGCAUUUUUUGUUCAAUUUAUAUGCAACUGGUUUUUUUCAUUUAGUUUUUCUCAUUUGAUUUUUUUAUAUGUAUUUUGUCUCUAGGUUGCAGGGGGUGAUGGAACAGCUGGAUGGUUGCUUGGAGUUGUUUGUGAUCUCAAAUUAUCUCAUUCACCCCCCAUAGCCACGGUUCCCUUGGGCACAGGGAAUAAUCUACCAUUUGCAUUUGGCUGGGUAGGAAAUCACAUUUAUAUAUUUUGUCCUUUUAAGUUUCAAGGUUACUCGAAGCACGUUUAAAACAUAUGCUGCCUCUGCCAUGACUUGAUUGUUUAAACGCUAAGAAGUUUUAAUUUUCCCGAUUUCUGUUCCUUGUUUGUCUGGAUGCUGUUUAGGAGUGUACACAUUGUGCUGCUUCGUUUUCCUGAUUUCUGUUCCUUGUUCCUAGUAUGCCUUUCGAUUUGGUUUUUAGGUUGAGGAAGCACUAAGCAGUUGUUAUGACUAUGAUAAUAAAUAUUUUUAGAAAAGUAUGAAAAGAAUGAUGGAUCUUGUAAAUCUUAUUGUUUUAUUCUGUAUUGCAGGGGAAGAAGAAUCCCGGAACAGAUGAACAAUCUGUUUUGUCAUUUCUAAAUCAAGUAAUGAAAGCUAAGGAAAUGAAAAUUGACAAGUAAUGAAAUUUCCUCCUUUUUUUUCAUCUUAUAAUUAAUUUUUAUUUUGUUUUUCUGCUAGUUGAAUAGCUAGCAUAUUAGUCUAUACUCUAUAGUUACAUUUCCUUCAUACUAUUGGCAAAAUUCUACGGAAUUUUAAUUAUAGAUUUAAUAAUUAUAAUACUUGCCAAGUGAUGCAUAAUAUCCUGAAUUGAUUUUGUACAGGGUUAAUGACAGUAUAGUUGGGCUAACUGCAGUCCUCUUCAAUAUAAAAUCAAUUGACUGAUAUCUUAAUUGAAAAGCUAUAAUUUCUUUUUCAAUUUUGUAAUUUAUUUCCGUUUUCUGAAUACCAGCUCAAUAUGAUUUCUUCUGUGGUGUCAUAUAGUAUUAUAAAUCUCAAACCAUCAUGUUCACUGUUGUUGUUUAACAUUUUUAUUUUAUUCUUACAAGGCAUUUUUUUAGUGGUUCCAAUAGUUUAAGCCUCAAGGAGUACUUUGUUUCUUAUAAUUUUAUUAAUCUGAAAGCAUCAUGCUGACUGUUUACUAUUAUUAUUUGUAUUCAGUAUUCACUCUAUUAUCAUUAUUAUUUAUUCUCUUAUUGGGAAUUGUUUAGUGGUUCCAAUAGUUUAAGCCUUAAGGAGUGAUUUGCUUAUUCUUUGGUGUUUUGAUAUUCUCCCUUACUGACUCUGCUCAAGUUCUUAAUACUCCUUAACCCAAAGCAAAUUUGUGAUGAUUUUUUAAGGGAUAAUUUUUUGUUCAAGAUCUUUAGUAAAUGAUUCGUAAAUUUUUAUAUCAUUUGCUCGGCUGAUAAUUUCUGUUGUUUUUCGUUCUAAACUCUCAGCUGGCACCUUCUUAUGCGGAUGAAGGCGCCGAAACAUGGUACUUGUGAUCCUAUUGCACCUCUUGAGUUACCCCAUUCUUUGCAUGCCUUCCAUCGUGUCUCUGAGACAGAUGAACUUAAUAUAGUAAGACACUAUACAAUUCACUAUUUAUAAAUUUCAUACUACAUCCAGUUCAUGGUGACUGGGUGCUAAGUUUUGCAAUUCUUUGUAGGAUGAGUUGAUGAUAUAGGGCUUGCAACUAAAUCACACCUAGUCUGGGUUGAAGUUUUUGUUAUGAUCUAUUAUGUGCAUGGGCCUUGUACAGUAAAAUAUGUGCAUAUUUUAACUUUUAUCUUUGACUUUUAGUUAUUAAAUUUACACAGUAAACUGUGGUGAUAGGUCAUAAAUGUUUUGUUACAGAAGUUUUAGCUUCUUUUCUAAUCACUUUACUUCCUUGUGUGGUUGUUUCUUAUCGUUCUUCAGGAAGGUUGCCAUACUUUUCGUGGAGGAUUUUGGAAUUACUUCAGCAUGGGUAAAUAUUCUGCUUCCUACUUCUAUACUUUAACUUUACCUUGCUAAUCAUCUCUGUCCUUUUUUCUAGUGGGAUCAAUUAGUUGAUUUAGUGGGCUCUUCAUUAUAGUAAUAUUUAAUUUUGUCUGUUUCACAUCAUUUAUUCUUGCUUAUUAAUUAAUAUUAAUGAGUAAUAUCAAAUUAUGAGAUUGCAAAAUUCAAUUUAAAUUAACUAUAGCAAUAAAAGCUUUACUUUUCUUACACAAGCUGUGAAAAGUAUGAAUAUGAAAUAUGAAAUGAUAAAACAACAAUUUGUAUAUUGCUAUGUUAAUUUGCUUAUUCAGUAAAAUUCAUUGGUUAUCUUCAUCAGUAGUGAUAAUUGUUUUUAGCUUGGCUAUUUUUGUUUCUUCUGAUUGUAUUUUACUUAAAAGAAUCUGUUAGAGGGAAUUUUUGUUCCUGAAUUCCAUCAAUUCAUCUUGCUUAAGCAGUGGUUGAAAAAUCUGUGAUUCCUGAUUGUAGGAAUGGAUGCUCAAGUUUCUUAUGCAUUUCAUUCUGAACGAAAAUUGCACCCUGAAAAAUUCAAAAAUCAGUUGGUUAAUCAGGUAUGUUGUUUUUCUGCAUAAUUAUACAUUAAAGUACUGUGCUGAAGAAUAACAACAGUACAACACUACUUCUGAAUGAGAGAAAAAGAGAGACAUAUGGUGAGUGGUGACACUGUUUUAACUACGCAACAGGCUCUCUUUAUAUAGGUUUAAAAGAAAUUAAUAGAAUAAUUACAUGAAAUUCUAUUUCUAUUUACACUGUGAUAUGUCAAUUCUGUACAAUAAAUACAAAGAUCCUAAUCUUAUUUUCAACAACUAGGGUGUCUUUCUCACUCUUCAUUGUAAUGUGUAGUUUCAGACUAUUGAGAUGUACUUUCAUUAUCCACUUUUUCUUUUUUGUGAUUCUUUUUUUUUAAUAACAAAUGUUUUUAUGUUAUUGUUAUGUUGUGAGUGGGAAUAAAAUCCUCAACCUCCCGAUUACUCCACUCCUUAACUCCCCCACCCCAACCUUAUACCCCCUUUAUUUUUUAUGGUUGAUUUUGUUGUUCUGUUUAAAAUUGUAUCAGAGCACUUAUGCUAAGCUUGGAUGCACACAAGGAUGGUUUAUGGCUUCACUAUUUCAUCCUCCGUCCAGGUCAGUUCAUGUAGACCUGUAGUUGAUUUCACAAAGGCUUUAUAGCUUGAUUUUACCAAGCUGAGUGAAUUAAUGAACCAUCUAAUAUUGGUCCUUGUUGUAAAUUCAUGAAAGUUCAUACUGGUAAUAGAUGCUACACAGAAAAAGAGCAACCUGGUUUUUAAUAGAGCUCCCACCAUAGGGUGAUCUAAGAAGGUUGGGCCCAUUGUGGAUAUACUAUAGACAGCCUUAUCUUGCAUCAUCAAGAGGCUGAUUCCCCGACUAAAACCUGCGACACCUGGACAAACGAUAGCAACUCCCCUUGUAAUAUAUGAUACACAAAUGACAUUGGAAAUUUAUUUUUCAAAAUUAGUAACAAUUAAAAUUGGCAACUUGCAACUGGUCCUUUAACUAAAUAUGUGGUUAUUUUGAAUUCAAAUUUAUUAUUUUUGCUUAUGAAUCUUUAGAGUACUAAGUUCGCCAUCCCACUUUUGAUUGUUUAUGAAUCUUUGGAGUGUGCUCCUUGUCAAAGUCUCAGGUUCGAUUCUCUCCGGUGCCAAUUUAGGUGGGCUAAUUUAGCUUCUACAAAAAAGUUAACAAUAGGCUCGAGGAAUAAACUAUAAAGUACCAACAUUCCCCAUAUUUUGACAUUUCAAAAACAAGACAGAUGUUAUUUUCUAUUCCAAUCUCAAAAUCACACGAUAUCCUUGUUGGUGGUCUUAUUAAUCCCUAUACAUACCUUCCAUUUAUAUGCUAUUAUGGUAGAAGAAACACUGAAAUCUGAAAUAUACUGUAGUCCUAUCUUCACUAUUGGUCAUGCAAAUUUUCAAUAUAUAACCCAUUUGUCAGGCAGCCAUCUUUCCUGUUGGAAGUUGUUGUGGGCUUAGGUAAUUCUGCUGAUUUAUGAUCAGAACUAACUACAUCGGUAUGACAACACUCUCUGGUUCUUCUAAAGCCACUGAAUCUAGUUGUAGCCUACAAAAUCAUAAAAUAUAAACUUAGUAGUGAUUGCUAUUCUGCCGCUUACUUGGUUUCUCAUCUAUGACGAGUCUUGUUUAACCAAGUCCAUAGAUUGGAAUGUACAAUGAUACAUGUAGAAAUUAAUUUUCAACAGAAUAUCAUUGGGUUUUCCUUCUGUGAAAUGUCAAAUUAUAUAGUUUAAAUGAUUGUAAAUAUGAUGCUUUCUAUUGGAGACUGAUAACAGAGUCUUAAUCAUUUUGAAUUUUAUAUACUAUGUAGUUCUUUCCAUUCUUCAUUAUUUGUUUAGACCAGUGGUGAAUUGAACACAGCUAUGCACCAACUACACAUGCAAUAUCAUUGUAUCUAUCCUUAAGCAAAAUUUUUUCCUAUCUAUAUGUGUUGCCAGGAGCAGUUAAGUGAAUGUAAUUCGAUCUUCUGCAGGAACAUUGCACAUAUGGGAAAGGUCAAAGUCAUGAAAACAGCUGGUCAGUGGGAAGACCUCGAAAUACCUUCCAGGUAAAACAUUUUGUGAAACUGUAUCUUUUUUUUGGUUAUAUUGAAGUUGUAAGAACUUGGGUAGUGGAGAGAAAAAUAUAGUCUAGUGGAGGAUUGAAACUUCCACAUUAACAUCAUACUGAAGUCUUACAACUUGGCAAUGCCUAAUUGUCUAUUAAGCUACAAGCUCUUUGACAUCUAUCUUUAGCAAAACAAUUGUUCCGAAAAUUUCAGGUUAAUGUAAAAACUACAUUUCAAAAUUAUAAAAAAUUCAUAGCAAUACAUAACUAUGCUCGAUAGUUUUCUUAGUUCUGUUAGGAUAUAGAAUAUUUAUCCUUUUUCAAUCUUCCAAUUAAAUGUUUAUUCUUCUCAAUGCAAUUCUUGGGUUCCAAACAAAAUCACUGCUGUCACGUGAAUCAUACCCAUUCAUGUUUUCAGAACUUCAUUGCAUUUAUCAUUGUAUCGAUUGUUGAUUAUUUGAUGAUUAACGUUUUACGACAAUGUUGUCAACUACUUGUGUAUGGAUAUUUUAUAGCCACAUGGCUGGUUAUAUCAACUUCCAUUUUUUCUAUAUCUGUUUUUCUUUCUGCUUCUGUUUACUGUUUGAAUAACAUCUGAUGUGUUUGUUACCUACUUUCCAUUUUAUAUGCAGCAUCCGAUCAAUUGUAUGCCUUAACUUGCCUAGCUUUUCUGGUGGAUUGAACCCAUGGGGUACACCAAACAGAAAGAAGCAGCGUGAUGUAAAUUUCGUAACUAUUUCUGAAAUAAUUUACUUGUUUCAGUCUUUUCCCUGUAAUUUAAAGUCUGUUAGAAGUUGAAGUAUUAAUGAUAAUGCAAUCAACAAACAAAACUCUGAGUAUGCUAUCUUGGUCAAAUACAGAGAGAUUUUACACCUCCAUAUGUAGAUGAUGGUCUUAUUGAAGUUGUUGGUUUUAGAGAUGCCUGGCAUGGACUUGUUUUACUUGCUCCAAAUGGUCAUGGAACGCGCCUUGCUCAGGUAUGUGGAUACGAGGAAAUAUUGUAUGCAUAUUUGCUCUUUUUUUAUUUAAAGUUCUCAGAUGACAACAUUCUUAGUCAUGUUUUUAUUUUGGAAAUGCUUUCCAAUAAUUUACUUGCCAUCGAUACCAAUUACUAUUAUUAUUUUAUUGAUUUUAAAAUUCUAAAUGUCUUGAAAUAAUCUUGUCAAUAGGCAAAAAGAAUCCGCUUUGAGUUUCACAAAGGUGCGGCAGAUCAUACAUUCAUGAGGAUUGAUGGGGAACCUUGGAAGCAACCUCUCCCAGUUGAUGAUGAUACUGUUUUGGUAGAGAUUUCACACCAUGGCCAGGUUAACAUGCUUGCCACUUAUGAAUCCAAGUCUAAAAGUGUGUAUGAUCCAUCAUCACCUCAUCAUAAUGGUGCUGAAGAAGACGAUGAUGAAGACAGUUUAGCAGAUGAAUUUCGAAAGUUUGGUGCAGCAGAAACAUUCAAAAUCCCAGAUGAGGUAGAUAUUACUCAUCUUAGUUAGGUUUUUCCCUAUUAGACCAUUCUUUAAUAUUAUGCAAUUGACAUUGCCUAUACAGUUGUUUAGACCUUAUAUGUAUUUAUAUAUGGUAGCCUCCAUCAACUGUAUCACCUAUUUGCUCAAUUCUAGCAGCAUUAUGUCUGCAAACAUGGUAAUUGUAAUUUAGAAUUGAGAUGAAAUAUUAGAUUUGUUCUCAAACCUUCCUGUAGUUGAAAUAUAUACUCGAAGUAACUUCUGUCCUUUGAAUUCUGCUCAAUUGUGGUAGGUUCCUGGCUUCAGUGUUUUCCGAGUGACAAAAAUGAGAGUACGUUUUAAUGAAGUAUAUGAAAAUCUUCCAUAAAUUUUUCAAAUUCAGUGUUUGUUUGUCCAUUGAACUCACAAGACUUAAAAUAGUGUUCUUAGAUACAUACUGCGUUCUACUUGUAAUAAUUGUAAACCUAUGGCAAUAACUCACACUUGGGGAGAGUUGACGAUUGAAUAUGAUCUUAAUAUGCACAUUGUCGCAUGGCUGAAUGAAGACCUGAUACAUAAGGCCGUGUAAUAAAGGAAUAGAUGACCAUACAACUUUAUAAUAGAAGGAGAAAAAUGAAAGUGUUGGUAUAAACCAAUAACUGAUGAUAGUAAAUUCUAACCAUGAAAUUGAUGUCGAAGUGAACGCACUCACCGAAAUAUAAAGUUAUUUACUCAGAAUGUAUGCCUUUAGGCUUUCUUGUUUUUAGAACUGCGAAAAUAAAUUUGUGACUGCAAGGUAAAACUAGAAAAUACAUGCAAAUUGUGUGAAAAGGGUGAACAAAUUGUGGUUUUAGAAGAACAAAUACCACAAUGUAAACCAAGUACAGUAUGAGAAAUCAUGCUGAUUCUUGCUUAUCCAACUCAGUGGAUUAAGAAAAGGUGUGUCAAGGAUUAGAAAUCUUCACAUGGAGAUCGUUUUUGAAGAACUUAGCUACAGAACAGACAGUAGUUUCCCCACUCAAUUUGUAAUGGCCCCAUUAGCCUUCUGUGGCUCCACCCUUUCUUCUCUUUUCUUCUUCUCCCUGGGGAAAAAAAAACAUAUAUAUGAAUCUAAAUCUUGCUGAGAAGAACCAUCAAGCUGUAAUUGUAAAUCUGUCUCAUCUAUUAGACUUUAACUUGUGAAUGGCAUACUCAGAUUUAUAGAGUAGAUGGAAUAUCAGAUUGUGUCAUAGCUCAGAAGUAAAAUAGUCUGAUUCUCACAAAUUCAACGGUUAUGUUACAAGCUUGAAACAAGUUCUCAGUUUGUUAUAAACAAGUUUUGCAAUACCAUGUUUUCUGAAAAUCAAUUAUGAUGAUCUCUACCGUAAAACCAAACACACACUUAGCAAAGUUAUAACAGUAGUAACUACAGCGUAGUUAUAUCAAAUUAAAAUGAAAAGCCGUAAUGACAGAGAGGAGAACAACUGAAGGGCAUUGAAAGUUUGAUGUCUACCUGUCAAUAAAUUCCCUUUGCAGCUCUUUUGCUUGAACCAGCUUGGAAAGCAGCAUACGGUACACAUCCAAGUCCCGAUCAACGCUUCUUUUGUCGAUGUUCAAAGCCGCACAAAGCUGUUAUAUUGACACCAAAGAUUAACUAUCAUAAAUCCUACAAACAUUCAUAAAGAUGCAUGUAAUAGACACGUCUAUAGUAUCACUUCAAACUACUUUAUUGGAACUUCUAGAGGUUGUUAAAAUAAGAACUAGACCUUAUAGGCUCAACUUCAAUAAUUCUAUAAUAGAAAACUAUAAUAAAACAUUUAUUUGAAUAAUUCCAAUUAUAAAUCAUGCAUGAUGCCCUGAAUGAAUUGGGCUACCUUGUCUAAAAUUGUUGGUUCUGUUGCAUUUGCCAACUCAAGAAGGCGAAAAAGACCUACUGCAAAGAAACGACUAUAACUGAAUUCACCCUUUUCUCCUGCUCUUUUUGCAAUAUCCUUUAAAACCCCUUCAACUUCUCCUUCUCUGGAUGAAAACUCAACCAGUGAAAUUGAGUUUUGAGCCUUAGCCCAAUCUUCCAACUUCUUUGCAUCUAUUCUGUAGAGGGUAACAUAAAACAUCAUUUGAUGCUGCUUUCAUUUAUGAUGAAAGAUUUUCCUUCAGAUAAAUUUUCUUGUUAUGUAACUAGUACUAAGCAAAAACAUAUACAAAUUACAAAGUAAAGUCAAUAGUUUUCUAUUCUUUCCGGUUGGGAAUAAUAUGAUGCUAAUUAGAUUUUGGCAAACAAACUCUGGAUUGUGUACGGUGUGACUGCAUGCAGCAGUCAACCACAUCAGGGCUGUUGCGGUCUUGAUCAGAUGGUCUAGAAGUGGCUGAUUGCGUGGAAUCAAGGGUUGUGACUGCACACAACCCAAACCUCUGCUGGACAUAGUCUUCAGUUGCUUACUUACAGCCGUUAUUAAUUAUUAUUACUAUUAUUAUUUUUUCAAUUAUUGAGUCAAAGAUUUAGAUCAAGAACAACAAAGAGAAAAAUAAAGAACAAUAUAGCAAAGGGAAAUUAGUCGAUCAUGAAACCUGUAUUGUUCUGGAUCUUCCUUCAAUGCAUUAAUAUAAGCUUUGAAGAUGGUAUCACGCUCCUCUUCACUAGAAUACCCUUCCAUGAGUUUAUCAUAGACAGUGACAAAACCAAGAGCAAAUACAGAAUCAUAUUGGUAUGAUGUCUUGUAUCUCAUUAAAUGAUGUUGAACAAUGAGCUCCUGCAGCACAUUGUUAUAGAUACUCGGGAUUGGUCGUUUAUAUGCCUUUAGGAAAUUUAGCUUUGUCUCAGAAACACUAGGAACAUCUGCAGUAGAUGAUAACCCAUGACCAACUAACAAUAAUAAGGUUCAUUGUCUUCUUUUAUUUAUUUAGUCUUCCAUUUUUUGCAGUAGGUGUUAGAAACAUAAACAAACUUAAUAUAAAAAAAAAUUCUCCAUGUCCUACACUCAUGCCUAUGUUUUGCAAACUCUAUGAUGGACUAUUUUGGUAGGUGGUCUACCGUGGACUGAAACUUGAAAAUCGUUGGACAUUUCAAUGAUGGUUGAAACUGUCUUUCGAAAAUAGAAGGUCUCAAUCCACCUUGUCAAUCAGACGGUGACUUGAUCAAUCUCACUUCAACAAAAAUAAGGGAUAUGCGUGGUUCAAAACUCAACUCAUAUCCGUUUUUCCAUGCUUUGGUCAAAUUGACACUGAUCAAGUCACUGUCUCAAUUGUAAGGACAAGAAGGACCGAGAGCUUCUACUUCAGAGGGACGUCGUCGAUUGCCAUUAGAGUUUUGAGCAGUUUAUAAAGACUGGUCCAUGGUGAACCACCUAUCAAUGUGAUCCACAAUAGAACUCACCACUAAAAUAACCAAAAGAUAUUCCAAACAGGAUCCCUAAAAGAUUACAGUACAUAAGAUCUAACAAGCUUAAUGCCUAAUCAUGCAUGCAACUAACAAGUAUUAUAUCUAGUGUAACUUAACUAACUAUUGUAACUAAUUAUUGUAACUAACAAUUAUAUCUAAUUAACAUGAAAAAAUCACCUCCCUUUUCUAAAAUUGAUUUGGAACCAAAUUAACAAAAGCACAAACCUGUGACAGAAGACAUGCAUUGAAUAACCAUUUUAGAAGCAGAAUUGCCAACUCUAACACCAACACAAUGGUACGAGGAAUCUGUCCGAAUUCCAAACAUAUCAGAACUUGAAGCAAGGAAACGAGUAGAAGACAAAGUGGAUUUUCUCUGUGAGCAUUGAGAAGUUGCUGAGAAUGACAAAGAAGUUAGUGCAGCCAUAACUAGAAACUGAAAGUACAAGUAAAGAGAAAAGGUAGAUGCAAUAUUAGACUCAGAAAAUAUCCUUCAUGAAAAGGAAGGACAAAAUUCAGAGAAGGAACUGCAUUGCUUUCAAAAUAUUUGUGUUGGAAACAAAGUAUAAGGAAGAAAAAAAGGACAAAAAAGCUUAUCCACACUGUGAAGUCGAAAAAAGGAAACCCAAACCUUUUUGUUGUCGAUAUUGUAAGGAGUCGCUGACAUAAUGACACGUAGAGAUUUGACAUUCAAAAUGAUUUUCUAAUUUUUCUUUUUUUACUCAAGGCUGGUUUUUUUUAUUUUAUUUUUAAUGAGAAAAAGUGUUAAAUAAAAAAAGUCUUGUUAACGAGUGUCCUGUAACACUUUUAAAGAUCCCAAAUUUAGAAAAUAUUCUUUAAAAAAGUCAAAUAUUACAAAUUUUAAUGCAUUGGUUUUAUAAAAACUUACUAUUAAUGAUUCUUAAAGAGUGUCCCAGAAGCAUCCGUUAACCUUUUCCAUAAAAAAAAAUUAAACAAGGCAAGCAUCAUCUUCUAAUUAAAGUAGUAGAAAAACAUUAAAGAAAAUAUAAUUAAAAUCUAAAGAAGAGUAUAUGUGACUCGUUAAGAAGUCGACACAUAAUCUUGCGAUGUACAUGAUAAACAUAUGUUCUCCAUCCAUUGAGGUGGAGAAGAGAGACCACCUCUUAAAAGAGAGGUUGGACAAAUGCAUUAAGAGAUGGGUUAGAUGUAACUGAUUAACAACAACUAGAGAGUCCAUUUUAAAAAUGAUAUUUUUGAUAUUCAAAUGACUCUUAUAACUAUUCAAUGUGAAAUGUCCAGAGUUCUACCCUUAUAACAUAGGAGUAUCCAAAUUUAUUGUAAAGAUCAAGAUUGAACUUACCAUGAGAAUUUCUAAUUAGACCAUCAACAUUAAUCUUGUGUAUGAAACCUCAAUGCUAUGUCUCAUGGAGUGAGAUUGAGAAUCCACAUUAACGUUGGAAGAGUUGAAUAUUAAUCACAUUAAUGAAAUUAGCUUUGUUUGUAAUCGGCGGAGUAGUUGAAUACAAAUCACAUAUUUCCUAUUAAACACCAUAGUAUUUCUAUAUUAUCAAUAUUAAAAAUUGUGAUGUUUCAAUCAAGUCAUUGAUACAACCCAAGACCACAUACUUACUCAAAACAUCUUUGGAGAUAAGAUCAUUCCAUAAUAUUUUCUCCUUUUCAAAGUGUCUUAGAACAUGCAUAAUAGUUUCAGGAUAGUCGCCACAUCUAGGACAUAAACUAUUUCUAAUGAUACCUUUAUGAUAUAUUUUAUUUCAUCAUUAAUUAGAAUUUUAUCAUUAGCUAUUUUUCAUUAAUAAAAAAAAUAAAAAAAAUAAAAAGCUUUGUACUUGUUCGGAUCUGGCCAAGACCUAAUGUGUUGGAAAAUGUCAUGAUUUGUUAGGAAAGAGGAUGCUCACUAUGCAUUAUACAAUAAGCAGACUUAAGAGAGCAAUUUCCAUAUGUAGUAAGAUUUCAGUAAGUAAAGUCUGAUUUUCCAUUAGACGAAGGCUUAAAUAAUGUAAUCUUCUCGCAAGUAUCUUGAAGUAGAAGUUGAUUGGGAUCUUCCCAGCUCCAUGACCAUCCAUAGUGUAAUACAAGACAUAAAAAUCCAUUUGACAAAGUUGAACACUUGCAUGGAAGAGAUACAACAAGGGUCACGAUCCCAAAUUCAAGUAUCUUUCCAAAAGAGGACAUGAUUACCAUUUUGAAUACACUAAAUACCUUUCCAUGUUCUCAAGAUAUGAGAUGAAUUUUCCUAUGAUCAGUUGUCGAAUACGAAAUGAAAUCUCUACAAAUAUUGUUAGCGACUAUACAAUCUGAAGUUGGGACUCUAGUUGAUUGGAUCACAUACUCAGGAAUGAUAGGUAAGGAAGAUUGAGCAAGAGUAAUCUCAUUCCAGCAAAAGAGAGGGAAUUCGCUUUCCAACCUCAUAAUUUCCUUCUCAUUUUGUCAAGAAUAAACUCUUAACCAGAUUUAGAAUCCUUUUAAUGAAGCAUUGGAGCACCUAGAUAUAAUCCAAGAUCCUUUUGAUAAUUUGAAUUUUGAAUUUCCAAAUCUCUACUUAGAUAACUAGCAAGAUCUACAGAGAUAUUAUUAGAGAAAAGCACUUGAGAUUUUUGAAAGUUCAAUUUUUGACCUGAUUUUCUAGUUCCACGGUAAAACACCAUAAAAAUAUGGGAAAUGGCACAAGUUUAGAAGCUAAACAUAUAAACCUUUUCUUAGAAAUUGUGCAUUCAAUAUAUUAAAAGUUUGAAAUUUUAUAUUUUCAAUACAAAAGUUACUUUUUAAUUCCAUUUUUAGUUUCUUAACUUGUGCCCUUAGGACACAAGUUAACAUGAUCCUAAAAAUAUUAGUAGUGUGUUUUAAAAAAAAAAUAGGGAGUCAAAAGAGUAUCAAUAUCAAAUGUUGAAUUCUUCUAACGCCUCGUAUCCAAUUAAUCUAAAGUUGUUAUUUCUAAUUAUAAGUAAAAUUGAUUUUUUAGGUUCAUUCAAUUAAUGAUGUAUAUAGUUCAUAUGGACUACAUGCAUCAUUAAUUAAAUGAACCUAAAAAGUCAAUUUUACUUAUAAUGAAAAACAGAUGGAAUACGAAAAAUUAUUGAUGUACAUCCUCCGGUCAUUAAUAUAAUCAAAAGUUUAAUUUUUUCUAGUUCUAAAAUUUUUAAAUGAAAUAAAAAAUGGUUUCGAACUAUGUUAAAAAAAAAAAAAAAAAAACAGGAACAUCAAAAGGAUUCUUAAAAGGUUCAAAACAAUAAAUGAACUGAGUGAAAGCAAAAAAACUUCAACAAUCAGUAAGAAUAAUUCAAAGAUUGAGGUGAUUGAGGUGAUUGAGGAAUCACCCGUUAAAAUGAAAUCUAUUAAUUGGACAAAUUCUUCAUUCACAGAAAAAAGGAUAAAAGAUCUUAAUGUUAAAACAAAGACAAUCAUAAAACAAAUAAAAACAAUGACAGAAGAAAAAAAAGAGGGGAUUCUAACUUCAGAGAUCAAUUUGAAUUCAAACAAAACUACUUAUGAUGCUAAAAGAUUAAAAUUAAAAAAAAAAUAUUUUGCAAAUCUUACAAAGAAGAUUUGUUCGAUUAAUACGUAAAUCCUAUUCUUUUUUCAAAAUUUUCAUAGAAGGGGUAUACAUAUCCUUUUAUGUAUUAGUAGUAUUGCUAGGAUCCAUCGACAACGUUUUCUUGAUUUUCUUGAAUCAACAGACAAAAUAACAAAUGUAAAAAAAUCCAUUUACUAAAAAAAAAAUGGAAAAAAGAAUUGAAAAUCAAAGUAUAAUUCCAUUUAUAUUAGUGACUGGAAAUGACCCAUUUAAACAAAAUAAAUGAUCUAUUUAAACAUUUCACAUAUAUUAUGAAAAACAUAUAAACAAAGUGACCUAAUAGUACUUUUAAUACAUCAUCUUGAUCAAAUGGUGGUGAACUCACUCUUAUCAUAAAUGUAAAAUCUCAAGAUAUUGGCCUGACAGUGAUGAAAUUAAGAAGGGUGUAUUAGAUUGAGAUUUCAAGAGAUUUUAGAAGAUUUUUUGAUUAUAGAAAAGUCAUGUGGUAUUCAAUCAAAACUUUUAUAAAAUAUAAAUAAAUUUUGUGGUAUUCAAUUAAGACAAUCAUGAUUUUUUUUCAAUGCAAUGAAAUCCGUUGGUAUUCAAUUAGGAUUUCUCACAACUUAUAAAAUGUCCUUAGGUAUUCAAAAAUUGAUAGAUUUUGAUGGAUUCUUUUAUGGAAUAGAAUUUGUGAGACUUUUAAUUAAAAAUGUGAACAAAAUGCUCAUUCAACAAUCUCACACAAAUUUGUGAGACUCACAAUUUUCUUUUCCUUGCUGUCCAACGAGAUUCAUUUUUCCAACUAGUUCCAGAUAUUGUGAAUUCAUUUACCUUACAUGUCUUGCUUUUAUCUAUGCCAUCAUACUUCUUCUUUCUCUCUGAUAACCACUGUGCCUGUUUUUGCAUUACUUGUAAAUUGUCAUCAGAGGUUAUAUAUCUUGGUUGUGUGGUAGAAGAACCAAUGUGAAGCUUUUAUGUCUUGUUAUAUGUGUAUACUAGGGCCAUUUAUAAAGAGAUAUGCAAGGAAAAUGAAUGAUGGAAUAUUGCAUAGGGUUUAGUAUAAAAAGUCAUCUAAUUUGUUUUAUAUUUUUCAUCUUUUGACGUUAAUUUAUUGCAGUUUCAAAGUGCACAGAAAAUAUUUUAUAAAAUCAUGGUGUAAUAUUUUAUAAAAUCUUUUGACGUUUAUUGCAGUUUCAAAGUGCACAGAAAAUAUUUCAUCUUUUGAAUAUCAUGGUGUAAUACACAGUGUUGGAAAAAAUAAAAACCAUCUCAUAUGCAUUUAGAAAAAAACACAAUUGGUUUGUUGAUAUAAAUCCUUUGAAAUUCUGAUAGUCUUUUAAAGUCUUAUAAAAUCUUAGGAUAUAAAUUCCUUGAAAUCCAAAUUACAACAUAGUCUUUUAAAAUCCACUAGACUUUUUCAUGAAAAAUUGUCUUUUAAAAUCCUAAUUCAAUACCCCCUCUUAAUAUUAAUUAGAUGACAUAAUCGAAAGAUAAAAAAAAAAAAAAGUUUAAUACAUCCGUUGGUCCCUUAACUUAAUUCUUUUUCUCAGUAUGGUUCCCUAACUAAAAAACGUCUCAAAUUGGUCCCUUAUGUCUUCUUCCGUUACCAUUUUUUUUUGUAUUUCGAUUUUUUUCUAAAAUUUAAAAAAUCAGAAAAUAACUAUAAUUUUUUUUUAAAAUUAGAAAAAAAAUCAGAUUUUUUCGAAAUUAAAAAAUCUGGAAUUUAAUUUUCAAAAUUUAAAAAUAUAAUUAGAUUUUUUUUAAAAAAAAUUAUUUUUUAAAAAUCUGGAUACAAAUUUAGAAAAAAAUCAUUUUUUUUCCGAAAAUUUUAUUCCAUAAUUUUUAUAAAAUCUUUUUCGAACUUAAUGUAUUUCGAAAUUUUUAUAAAAUAAUUCAGAUUUUUCUUUCAAAAUUAAAAAGUUGGUUUUUUAUACAAAAAAAAAUUGGUAAUAAAAAACAUUUCCAGAAUUUUUUUUCUUUUUUUUACAAUUUUUUUAUUUUUAAAUUUAUAUUAUUUUUUGGAUUUUUAAAAAUUAAAUUUCAGAUAUUUUAAUAAUAAAAUCUGAUGUGGCCAAUCAAAUAAAAUGAAAAAAAAGUCAUGUCAGCGCCACAUAAGCGAAUCUGCUGAGUUAGAUGGGGGAAGGGGGUUUUCAGGAAAAAAAAUACGAGGACGGAAACCAAACCGAAAAUUUAUAGGGGCAAAAACCGAAAAUGACCUAUAUUACAGUGAUGGAAAAUACUAUUAAACGUAUAAACAAUAUUGAUUCACCCAGCACAAGUCGUGCAAAAGGUAAACCAACCAAGAAUAUUUACAAAAUCAAGGUGCCAAAAUAAUGAAAGCACCAACAAAACAGGCUAAAAAUUUACACGUGGACACUCAUACAAAGGAGAGGAUGUUUCCACCAAUCAUGAUAACUAUAGCUAAAUGUCGCCUAUUUUGAUUUCAACCACAAGAAAGAGUUCAAUUUAACCUUUUCAAUUAGAAUAGAAGAAUUAGAAGUCGUAUUUUGGAAGAUACGGUUAUUCCUUUUCUUCCAAAGAACCUAAACAGAAGCAAACCAAAUUAUUCUUAGGAAGGAAUGAGUGAAUCUAGGCAAACCCGCCAUAUUAGUAAACUGAAGGAAAUGAUGUCGAAUGUCACCUGAGAAAACCUUAGAAAUACCCAACCAGUGCCACACAUGAGACCAAAGAGAGCUGAAUAUGGCGCAUCCUAAAAACAAAUGUGUUACCGAUUCCGAGUCCCCGCAUACUGACACACACGCCGUAUUAUUAAGCUGAAGGACACGCCGCCGCACCAAAUUGUCUUUAGUAGGAAGUCAGUUUCGAAGUAGGCGCCACACAAAUAGAGACACCUUUGAAAGAAUAUGCUUAUGUCAGACGUCGUCAACAAGAAUUCUAUCCACUAGCUCACUGGUAUUUAGUAAGAAAGCGAUUUGCUCCCCCCACACAGAAUAACAGAAAAUAAUAUAUAGAAAUUAAAAAUAUAAGAAUAUGGUGAAAACUUAUUCGUAAUUAAAUAAAAACAGAUUUUUGACAAGGAAAAAACUAACAAUUGAUAUACCAACAUAUUUUUUAGGGCUUACCAAUUAUACACAUUUGUCAUUUGAAAAAAAACAAAUAUAAAAUGUUGAAUAUGACAACUUUUAAAAAUAGAUUUAUACUUGAUUUGUCCUCGUAAACUUAGCUCAGUUGGUAUAAACAAUGCAUAAUAUAUGCGAAGUUCGGGGUAAACCCCUACCACACAAAAAAAAAAAAAAAACAAUUUUUAGAAAAAUGUUGCAAGUUAAAUUACACUGUCAUGGUUUGGAAUGGUCAUCCUUCAAAAAAAAAAAAAAAAGGUUUGGAAUGGUCAGUGUAUCGGAGUGAGUAUUUUGUAGGUAGCUAGCUGGCAUGGUUUGGAAUGGAUAAGAGCAAACUUUCAUUACAUUGGAGUGAUCUUCUUCACAGGCAUAUAAUAUCAACACUCACCAGCGUGUUGGACCACGUGCUUCAAGGACUGCAUCAAAUUCUGAAUCCAACACUAAGGACAAGUAAUUAUCUUUUAUGGAAUGCAAUAGGGCUUUUUUCCCUGCAAAUAUAUAUCAUUUGAAUUUUCGUCUAUAAAGUUACUAAUUCUUCCAUUUUGCCAUUGUAAAUAUUAAUUAUUUGAAAAAUGGUCCUAAUUACAUCUGAUUAGUAAUUUCAUGAAAGAAAAUUCAAAUGACAUAUAUUUGCAGGGACGAAAAUUUUAUUUAAGCCAACCAUCUCACUCAAUCAUCACUUGCCACAUGGGUACCACGUUGCUAAUGACAGCCCACCUCAGCAAAAAAACCUAAUUAAGAUCAAAAGUCAAAUGAUUAAAUUUUGCAGUGGCAAAUUGGAAGGAUUAGUAAUUUCAGAGACGAAAAAUCAAAUGACAUAUAUUUGCAGGGACGAAAUACUUAUUUUAGCCUUACGGAAAUACUAACCAGUAUCCUAAGGGCACUAGUUAAUAAGAUUAAUAUAGAAAUUAUACAUUGAAAAUUGGUGAAAAGUGAAAUGUUAAACUUUAUGAAAGUCAAAAAUUGUUGUUUUAAAGGAAAAUUUUCUAUUUUUGAUAUCCUUAACCAAUGUCCUUCCUAAGGACAUUGGUUAGCAAAGCUCUUAUCUUUAUCACUUAAGUAUCCCGUAUUCUUGUCGAAUCUCGUUAACAAGUGUCAUAAGACAUUAUUCAAACACAUAUAAAAAUCAUAAAUAUACAAUUUCAAAUGUAAAAAUUAUUCAAUCCGUCUCUUAACAAAUGAGUCUUUUGUAAAAUAUAAAAAAUAUAACAUCUGGUAUACAUCAUUUUUACAUCUAUUGUGCAUAUUUUUAUUUUUAGGGGAUACUCCCUCCGUCCCAAAUUGUAUGUCGCUUUGGAAAAAAAUUUGUCCUAAAUUAUAUGUCGCUUUACAAUACCAAUGAAAUAUUAAUGUUAUUUUUCCUAUUAUAUCCUUAACUAUUAAUUACUUUUUCUUCUUUCAAUUAUUUCAUUUAUCUUUUCCAUACCAUUUAUUAAGGAUAAUUUUGUAAAACAACUCAUAAUUUCUCUUCCCCACACAAUAUUAAUUAUAUUUCUUAAUACGUGUGAAAUGAUCAAAACGUCAUACAAUUUGGGACGGAGGGAGUAUUAUAUUUUUAUUUUUUUAUGUCCCUUCUGUUACAUAUCAUUGAAAGUGCAAAGUUCAACCAUUUUUCUUUUGGUAAAUGUGAAAAUUUUAAUUAUGCAAGCAUAAUACUUACUGUUAAUCACAAUUACAAUUAUUAUAUUUGUAUAUUUCAUAUUCUUAACAUUCAUUCAACAAAUGACUUUCUCUUUAUUUAUAUCUUUGUAUCACUUCAUCAUCAGUUUAUCAUAUUUUCUCAAAAAAUUUUUUUUAUCAAUUUAUCACAUAUAUUACAUUAUUCUCUCUUAUUUCUUUUUUCUUUCAAGAUGUAUUCAUCCAAUGAGAUGUCCAUGAAACAUUUUUUUUUUAAUAUUAUACACAUUAUUUUAUGACUUGUGUCUAAACUAUAUGAUCUGAAGGGUUAUUUAUUAAAAAAAAAAACUAUAAGAUUUAAACAAAGUAGUUGAAUUUAAAUAAUUAGUAAGCUUUAGUUAAUGAUUAAUUAUUUGAAAGAACUCAAAUUUAAAUGUUAGCAGACAUGUUUUUUAGUCUGAGUUUAAUUUCUUUUUAAGAAAACAAACUUGUCCUCCAAAAUUGAUACCGAUGAUAAUUAAACUUGAAUCUUAAAGGAACACACUUUGAAGUUUUAAGUCAACAUCGCUAAUCCAACUCAAGUGAGUUUAGUCUAAAUUUAUUUAUCUUUGAUUCUUAUUCUAGAUUUCCCGACUCCAUAAGGUCUAACCCUUUUUAUUCACCAAAGAACAAACUAUAAGAUUUAAACAAAGUGUAAUUUAAUUCAAGUGAUUAAUGAACUUCGGCUAAAGACUAAGUAUCCAAGAGAACUAAAGUUUAAAUCUUAGCAUAAACAAUUUCAGUCUGAAUUUACUUAUCAUUUGGUCGUAUUUCAAAUCUAUAGGCCCCAUAUCCCUCAUGGAAUAUGAAGGUUAAGAUCUAUAAAGCAUGGAUACAGACUCGGACACGACACUGACACGCCGACACAGAUAAUAAUUUGAAAAAAUGAUAUAUUUGAGUGUAAUCAUAGGUAUCGUGUUGGUGUCGGACACCGACGAGUGUCUGACACGGAAACAAACCUAAUCCGAAGAGUAUUCAUGUUUCAUAGGUUGAUUAAGAUAACAAAACAAAAAUAAAAAAACUUAUCUAAAGGUUAAGAUUAAAAAAUUAGCUGUAUCAUUUCUAUUUCUGUAUAUAAUACAAGGCAAUGCCUCAUUUUAUGCUUGAGUAGUUGAGAUCUCUCUCUCUUUUAUAUUCUUUUAGAACAAGUUGUUUUCUUUAAUCUUUCUUGUCCCAAAUCUAAUCUAUAUAUCUAGCACUCUUUCCAAAAAGUUUAAGAGUGAACUAACAUAAUUGUUUGAAAUUGGAAAAGAUUUAAAGAGAUUUAUACGAGCUAAGAUAUUCUCCAAGUUGUUCCAAACAUGGAGGAGGCAAUCAAAGAUGGAUCACAAAGAAAAAACUUUAUUAGUUCUCACAAAGGCUCCUCAAGAGUACAACACUUUCCCUCUAAAUCAAAGAACCAUGUGUUUCAUCAAGCUGGUGCAAAUGUUGAUGCUGUUGAUAGAUUUAAAAAAGCAGAAGAAUCUCUUAGAACUGUGAUGUACUUGAGUUGCUGGGGUCCUAACUAAAGGUUAAUUAAAUUAUCAUAUAUAUAGCUAAUGUUUUAGUAGUGAUUUUUGAAAAUAUAUGUAGUAGCUGAAUGUUCAUAAAUUAGCUUUGUAAAUAUCAAGUAAAUGUUCCUAUUAUGUGAGUGUUAGAGUGUUUAUAUUUAUGCUUAUAUUAUUUGAUAGUUGUUUAUGAAAAUUUACAGACUGGGAUUGAAUUAAGUUAUGCCUGAAUUGGAUUUAUCAUGAUGAUUUGUGACAUGGGGAAUAUGUAGUUGUCUAUUGUAAAGUAAAAGAGAUAGUGAGAUCAGGUGCGUAGACUAGUUGCUUGAUAUUUACUUCCAUCUGUCCCUUAAUAAGUGGCACAGUUGAUCUAAUUACGCAUAUUAAUGUGUAAUUUUGAGUUUAAAUAUCUUGAAUAAUAUAUUGGAAAAAAUUAUGAAAAUUUGAUAUUUUGAAAAUACUCAUCGAGACGAAUCUAAUGACAUCUUAUAUGAUAUUAUUUAUCUUUGUAUAUUAGUAAAAAAAUAUGAUCAAAGUAACUUAGAUCAAAAUUGCGCAUUUUCAAACAGGUCAUUUAUUUAUUGUGGGAUGGAGGAAGUAAUAUUUAUGUUGAGAAUUUCAAACACAUCUUUAUCCAAAAUAGCAAUUAAUGAUGAUUCAUGAGGUGAUUUGAAAGUAAUGUCGACAGACAAUAAUUGGAAAACACUCAAACCAGUACAGUACUAGCGGUAAUAGUAUAUAAUAAUUGUUGUCAUUUGAUAAAGAGUUCGUUCAUAUUUAAUAUUCCCUUCGUCUCAAAUUGUAUGUUAGAAAAAAAAAUUUGUCCUAAAUUAUAUGUCGUUUUACAAUACCAAUGAAAUAUUUAUGUUACUUUUCCUAUUAUAUCCUUAACUAUUAAUUACUCUCUUUUCUUUCAAUUAUUUCAUUUAUCUUUUUCAUACCAUUUAUUAGGUAUAAUUUUGUAAAACAACUCAUAAUUUCUCUUACAAUUUAGGAUAAUUUUGUAAAACAACUCAUAAUUUCUCAAUAUUAAUUUUGAGAAACAACUCAUAAUUUUGAGAAACAAGCUCAAGAUAAUUUUGUAAAACAACUCAUAAUUUCUCUCAUAAUUUUUCAAUAUUAAUUACAUUUCUUAAUACGUGUGAAAUUAUCAAAACGUCUUACAAUUUAGGACGGAGGGAGUAAUAACACGAGUUCAACUUUAAGUUGUUCUAUUUGUUUAUGCGGUGCAUUAAACGUAGACGCAUGUUUUGACCAAAGCUACUAAUCUUGAGCUUCACCAAAAUCACGGUAGUUGAACAUUGAAAAGUGAUAUUUGUGCUUCCACCACCAAACCAAAUAGCCACAAAGUAAAAUUCUUGUUGAUUGAUAGUUUGAAAAUAUAUAUGACAUCCCUUUUGUGUCUGCUUUUGUGAGUCAUUGGAUAUUCAAUUCGUCUAAAAAGAAUAAUUGAAAAAAAUAUAUGAUUAUUCUCUUACUAUUUUUUUUCCUUUAAAAUUGAGAACAGUACAAACCUCAAACCAUUUAAUAUCUACAUCAAACAUGUUCAACCCUUAAGUCUAACCAAUUUUAUGAGAUUUUUAAUCGUUUGGUCUACGAUUCGAUCCUUGAUUUGUACUAUCAAAAAGGUAAAUUCUAUGGUACGUCUAAAAAUUUGAAUGUACCGGUACACCAAAUCAUUAAAUUAACAAUUAAAUGAGUUUUUUUUUUAAGAAAAAGAAUUAUUUUCUAUCAUUGACAAUCAUAAUAAUCAAAUCUUAUUUACCAAAAGUUUCGACAAAAUAAAAUUUACUUUUUUUGAAUUUUUAUUACUUAUAAUAAAGAAUAUUGAUUAUUUUUUAUGAAAAAAUGUUAAAUAUUUAAUAUGAUUCUUAUAAACAAUGAAAUGAUGUUUUUUCUUAUGAAAUAAUGUUUUAUAAAACAUAAAUAUUGACAAAUAGUUUUUUAUUUCAUAAAUUAUCGUUAAUUUAUAAUUUUAUGGUGCAAGAGUACCGGUACACUUUAAUUUUGAAGUGUACCGUAGAAGUUACCAUAUAAAAAACAUGUAUAUAUGUUUAAAGAUAACAAUAACAAUCUUUUAAAUGAAUCUUAAUUGACUCGAGAGAUAUGUAUUGAAAAUAUGGGCCAAUCAUUAUUGAGGUCUGAUACCGUUUUCUUUGUGAUUAUGAGCUUGGACUACAAAAAACAGAUAAUUAUUAGAAAAUUACUCUUGUCAUUUAUGAAAUGGCACAUUCACUAUAUCAGAAGCAGUUAACUGCCGUUCGACAUUUUUUAGCGGUAGUUAAAUGUGGGUGUGGUAUUGAGAAUGUAGAGAUGCAUAUGUAUGUAGCAAUUGUCGUAUUAAAACUUUCAUUUUCAUCAUCAGUAUAUAGUAGACAAUGAAUGAUAUUAUGAUAGUUUAACGGUUCUGCCAAGUGCCAAGUAUUCCAUCUUGUCAUUUCUUAACAUGUCUCUGUCAAGCACCUUAAUUUCUUCUAAGGCUGAGCCACCUCUUCAAAAUUGGAAACUUUAUCAAUGAUUUAUGAACAUUUUCUGAUUUUCAGUUUUGUAAACGAGGAAUAGAGUUAUGUACAUAAAGAAAUAUUCACCCGAUAUGAAUUAUUAUAAAAUACUCCCUCCGGUCCUAUUUAUAAGAGAAUUUUGGGUCAACAAAAGUUGAUGUAUCUAGUUAAAAAUUCAGUCCAAAUACAUUCACUUUUGUUGACCUAAAUUUCUCUUAUAAAUAGGACCGGAGGUAGUAUUGAGUAAAAACCUAUUUUAGUCCCUCGCAAUUUCUUCACGGCCUAAUUCAGUCUCCGACAAAAAUAAAAUUUAAAUUGAUCCCUGAUAUUUUCAUAUUAUGAACAAAUUAGUCCCUGAUUUAUCAUAAUAGAGUGAUUAAUUUAUCUCCGAUAAAAAAAUAUCAGGGAUCAAUUUAGGUUUUAUUUUUGUCGAAGACUAAAUUGGACUGUCAGAAAAUUAUGAGAGAGCAAAAUGAGUCUUCACUCUAAUAUGUUACUAUCAGCUCAAUACUCUAAAAGAGUUCUAAUCAAGAGUACUCUAGUUUCUCUUUUUCAUUUUAUGAGGAAAAAAAUCCAAAAUUUAAACUUAAAAAUUAUUGAUUGUGAUUGUGAAUGUAAACAAGGGCUUUAACAUCACGUUGGAUCAUCACAUCGUACUAAGAAACGCUUGCAUAAAUGAUAUUAGAUAUUUUAUCUUCAUCUAAAAUCUUGAAGCAUUGAGUUUACGAUUGAUUUCAUAUGUUGUUCAAUCUAAACUCUUUUAUCUAAUGUAAGAUUUAACUCACAUUUUACACAGCGGUAUGUAUUAAGACUAGACAAAUUCCACAAGAAUCUGAAUUCUAUUCCCACCACCAAUACAUAUAAAUCUUGUGAGUUGAUAAAAUGUAUGUACAAAUGUUAGCGGUCUCUAAGCCAUGAAACUUUGCUCCGGCUCUAACACACUGCCGGGGAUCAACUUAUUUAAAUUUUGUUUAUAGAAAAAAGUUAUAAUCAUUAAUUUCCUAACAGUUAUUAUUAACCAAAAAAGGACAAACUGCAUGUACAUUAAAAAAGAAAAAUGUCUAAAAAAAAAAAGGAAAAUGAUGAUCUUUCAUGGCUAGCUAGCUAGCUUAAAUCAUGAAUUUUUCUUAAUUUCUGCUAUCACUCUCAUAAUAUUGGAAGAGUACGUAUGUGUGUGUGAAGAGCUGUUUUUUGUGUAUGGAAAUAUAAUUCUAUUUAAACAAGGUAAAAACAAGUAUGAUUCAUAGGAUCAAAAUUAAGUGGCUUUUAAGUUAAUUAUGGUUAAAGUAAACAAUUCAUGUAUGGAUAAACUUGUCGUUUCACCAACCUUAUAGUUUGUGUGUAAAAACACACAUAUACACAGAAUUUAGAUGAUAAGAAUGUGAUUAUUUAAAUUUUAAAUAAGAUGAAAAUCAUCGUGAUUACCAUAUUUGGAUUGGAUUAAAAUGGAUGGAUAUCAAUCAAGAUAAAAAAUGCGCCAAAACAUUUUUUUAGUAUAACCUGCCUAAAAAACAUUUGUUCAUUAUAGAUAGAUAAAAUGCAUUUUAACAUUCACCAUAAACUAUUUAUUAGUUUAAGUACAUUAAUGUACUUAACAAACACCCCUGUACUCAAAAAAAGGACCCUUGAAUGAGAAUUAGUAUAAUUUUACUAUAAGUUCAAUUAUUUUGGUCAAAACUCCAUUUUAAUUUCAACAAUGCUAUUUUUUUUAUCCAUAUCGAAUAUCAUCUCAAUACCUAUGUAAAUCUAAAUGUUUUUAAUUGAACUAAGGUUAGAUAAGUUGUUUGUCCCUUCCCUACAAAAAAAAAGUUGUUUGUCCCUCUAAAUAUGAUAAUUUUAAGUUUUAGUCCUUCUAAGAAUUUUCUUCACUUUUUAGUCCCUUUAAAUUUUCUGUUUUCAAUUUUAGUUCUUUUUUUUUUACAAAAGGAUUUUUUCGAUGACAUAUCAUGGUAAGGCCAUAAAAUAUUAUUAGUUUAAUAAUUUAAAUAUUUGAUCUUAAAUUUAAUUUGACGUCAUAGAUAAAGCAAUAAAGAUUAAAGAUGAAAUAGUUAAAUUAUUAAACUAAUAGUAUUUUAAAGUCUUAUCAUUAAUAUGUCAUGAAAAAAGUUAGGAACUUAAAAUUAAAGAAAUUUUUUAGAAGGACUAAAAUUAAAAUUUGAUAUUUUUAAAGGGGCUAAUUGGUAAAUAAGUGUUUUUUAGGAUUGAACUCUAAAGUCUAACUUAGGAGUUUAUAACAACAUUCACAUAGACCACAUUGGAUAUCAUCAUCCAUAAAAAGUGGAAAUUACUCUUUACACUUCAGAAAAUGUUCUCCCACACCUCAAAAUGAUCAAAAAACUUCCAACAACUUUUAACUGAUAUUCGUUCCUAAGCUGAAUGUUAAGGAGCGAACGACAAUUAACUGUAAUUAAAUAUCAUUUUGAGGUAUGAGAGAGCAAAAUGAGAUGAGCAACAUUCUAAAAAGUGCAUGAAAACAGGAGAAGCCCAAGACCAUAAGAAACAUAUUUGGUUGUUAUUUAACUUUUCUCUUUUUAAAUAGAAAACAAAAUAGUUUUUUUUUUGUCAAGUAAUCUAAGGGUUCAAACACCGGCUCCUCAUAUAAUAAUGCAUGUUUCUGCCAACUGAGAUAUACUCACGGGGACAAACAAAAUAGUGUUUAUUAGUAUAUAAUGUAUACGAUUUUUUUAUAAGUCUCUUUAGUUAAAAUGAUUGGUUAUAUUUGAAUUCACUGUAAUGGAUCAAUGAACAUUUUUUUUUUAAAGGAAAUCAAUAAAGAUAGUUAAUCAUGUUAACCUUCGCCUUAAAUAUGUUAAAGUCUCCAAAUAUUAUCAAAAUUACAUUUUGAGGAAUUUUAUCAUCUCCUCGUAUAUCUAAAUUCCCUAAACAUCUCUAAUUUCAUAAUGAUGAUUUCAUCACUUAAAGUUGAGUGAAUAAGCAAAUACAACAGUCACUCACUUUGAUUCCACUCCUUAUCAUACAAUAAAGGACAAUUUGAUAUAGUACAACAAGUGUAUAUGGGAUAGCCAAAUACGAAGUACUUGUUUUCAAUCCUUUUCCUUCAAUUCUAAACUAACACGAGACAUGUCCCUCUUGGAUUUAUGCCCCCACCCCAUCAUCAUUUAUAUGUUGAUUAAAUAAAAAGAGUUCUGUUAACGAGUGUCUUCGGGACAUUCUUUAAACAUUCUAAAUUUAAUAACUAUUCUUUCAAAAAAUCAACUAUUACAAUUUUCAAUGCAUUUAAUACAUAAUUUUUUAUUAAAAAUUUACUAUUUAAAAUGUUUAAAGAAUGCUUCAGAGACACUCUUUAACAUUUCCCAUAAACAAAUGGUAUCACUCCCAAAACUACGGGUCCAAAAUUGCUAUAUUAUGGGCUUAUUGCAAAACCACGUGUAUAUCUAAGCAUAUAUAGUCCAAACCACUUGUAUUCUAAUAAAUUAAUAAUACCAAAACCGCACAAGGUAAAAACAAAAGCCUCACAUAUAUAAGCACCACUUGUCAUAAUAAACCUUCAAUUCAAGUUUCAACUAUUGUUAUCAAAAUACAGUGAAAUUCUAGUUAUUUUCAAUGUGUGCAACAAGAGGAGCUUUGGUAGUAGCAACAAGUGUUGGAUUGGUGGAGACAUUGAAGGAUCAAGGGUAUUGCAAAUUGAAUAACAAAAUCAUGAGAUCAAUGGCACAGCAUGUGGAGAAUCAAAUGAGAUCCUUGUCUCAAGCUAAUAUGUGUCCUAAUUCUUCUUCAACAAUUUCAAAAAAGCACAGUGAUGAGAAUAAGAAGAAAGCUGAGGAGUCUCUUAGAACUGUUAUGUUCUUGAGCAUAUGGGGUCCCAAUUGUUAGAACAAUACAUGAAAAGAAAAUUGGCAUAAUGCAAAACUGCAGAAAAAUAUGGUGUCACUGAAAUAUAUCCAGCCAUGUAUUUCUGUAUAAAACUUUUGAGCUGAGUGCUCUUAAGUUAAAAGAGCACUAUUGAGGUUGGUGCGUGCACGUGUAUUUCGAUCGAUUAGAUUAGACGCGGGUUUUGUAAAUUUGCUAUCAAUAAAAACUUGCUAGCUUAUUCCAUGAAAAUAUUUGUGAUGUGAAUUUUCUUUCCAAAAUUUCCUCCAAUUUUCAAUUUGAGUGAGAAUAUAAAACUAUUCACGUUAGAGGGAAUUCAUUUUUUUUUUUUUACUAAAUGAUGUUAAUUCCAACUUCUCUCUAGGUUUUCUUUCUCUUUCAAUCAUCGAGGAAGGGUGGUUUUAGGUCAUUUUUGACCUAGAAUCACCCCUCUGCAUUUUGUUUCCCCUUUCUUUCGAUUUAAAUAAGUGAUUUUCACAUAGAUCAAGUGUUUUCUUGUGUUUUUAUCUUCGUGAUUUCGUUGUCUGAGUGCGGCGUUGUGUUGUUCGUCUUCCUGUACGGCAUUGUUUGAUUUUGCAUCUUGUUGCAGUGUUCAUUUGAUUCAUAUUGAAAAAUCAGCUUCAGUCAAUCACAUCACAAAUUCAAUGAAUGAUUUGGACGUCAGCGUUGCAGAUCCGGAAGAAAGAAUAUUCCGGUGAUUUAGAUUUUAUCAUAUUAUUUGUAGGCAUUUUGCUGUUAUAUGCUAUUAACUUGGGUGUUGUGAGUUUGUUCGCAGAUUCAUCUUUUACGAUUUUAGGGAUGUUGAUUCUGAUGUAUUCUAUCAAUUUGAAUGAAUGAAUAUCGUUUUGUUUUUGUCAAAAAAAAACAUUUCAUUCAUAAUUAAGUGGUUAAUUCAUGUUAAUGUUAGUACAAGAGAGC